rfam:Synechococcus phage ACG-2014e isolate Syn7803C2, complete genome.
UCCUCCUUAGCUCAGCGGUAGAGCGGUUGACUGUUAAUCAAUUUGUCCCUGGUUCGAUCCCAGGAGGGGGAG